rnacentral:rRNA from 1 species
CUUUGAAGUUUCCCUAGAGCUGAAGCUCAGGACUGAGUUCUAUUGGCUAAAGCCAAUUAUUAGAGGUAUCGAGGGCACAACACCCGUGACCCAUUCUCAAGCUUUAUAUAGGUAGGAUGGCGUGGCUACUAGCUGAGACGCCGUUACGAAAUCGAGAACUGUAGACCAUUUUUGGUAAGCAGAAUUAGAAAUGCAGGAUGAACCAAAGUUGGGUUACGGCGCCCAAUUAAACAGUAACGUAGAAUUCACGGUGGGUGUUGGUCAAUUAAUAGCAGGACGGUGGUCAUGAAAGGCACAAUUCGCUAAGAAGUAUGUAAUGACUUGUUGCAUUGUAAUUUUUCUAGAAGGCUUGAAAAUAAAAUUUUGCUUGUUGGCAAUCCUGAAAUCCUGCUAUCAAUAUUUGCUAGGUGAAUGUAUGUCCCUUCUUGAGUUAAAG